AAGACCAACCAACCAACCCGGCUCCUGCUACCCGACCACCUGUGAAACUACCGGAUGCUCCUGUUUAUCUGCCCCUCAAAUGCCAAUUUGAGUUGUCUUCGUCUUUCAUUUAUGCAUGGAGCAGGACAGGAAGUCCCUGACCAUUUCAUUGAUGAGCUGUGGCUUUCUGACCAUGCUCUGAGAGUCUGUUCCUAUCUCCAAGAUACCUUUCAGGAAACCAGUUAAGCUUCUUUUUUUCUGGGAUAGUGAGGUAGUUCAUGGGCUAAGAGCACUAGCUGCAUUUCCAGAGUACUAGGUUUGAGUCCCAGCACCCACAUAACAGCUCACAACCAUCUGUAGCUUCAGUUCUAAGGGAUCUAUUGCUCUUCUCUGGCUUCUCUGGGCACCAGGAACACUCAUGGUGUGCAGACAUACAUACAGGUAAAGCAGCCAUACACAUAAAACAA
rnacentral:lncRNA from 1 species